rnacentral:lncRNA from 1 species
AACAGAUAACCGACUGUUAUGAGUUUCAUUCAAUAUCAUUUGAAUUAACUUUGAAUUUCUCAGAACACAUAUUCAGUUUUUAAACUGCAAACAACCAUUAUUAUCAAUUCUAAACUCAAAUUCAACAUUCGAUUCACAUUGAGCUCGCUUUGCUAACAAAUUAUUAUCAACUUUCUGAGCAUCACAAAUUUCUUGAACAAAAAACGGUCUUCCUUUUAAUUAAAAUAUUAUCAAACCAUCAUCAGACAUAGCCAUAUGCGCAUUCAUU